CCUACGGGAGGCAGCAGUGGGGAAUAUUGCGCAAUGGGCGAAAGCCUGACGCAGCGACGCCGCGUGAGGGAUGAAGGUCUUCGGAUCGUAAACCUCUGUCAGCAGGGAAGAACGGUCACUGUGCUAAUCAGCAGUGAAUUGACGGUACCUGCAAAGGAAGCACCGGCUAACUCCGUGCCAGCAGCCGCGGUAAUACGGAGGGUGCGAGCGUUAAUCGGAAUUACUGGGCGUAAAGCGCUCGUAGGCGGUAUGUCAAGUCAAGGGGGAAAUCCCCGCGCUCAACGUGGGAACUGCCUUUGAAACUGGCAAACUGGAGUGUGUGAGAGGAUAGUGGAAUUCAAGGUGUAGGAGUGAAAUCCGUAGAUAUCUGGAGGAACAUCAGUGGCGAAGGCGACUAUCUGGCACAUAACUGACGCUGAGGAGCGAAAGCGUGGGUAGCAAACAGGAUUAGAUACCCCAGUAGUC
rnacentral:rRNA from 1 species